rnacentral:rRNA from 1 species
GAUGAACGCUGGCGGCGUGCCUAAUACAUGCAAGUCGAGCGAACAGACGAGGAGCUUGCUCCUUUGACGUUAGCGGCGGACGGGUGAGUAACACGUGGAUAACCUACCUAUAAGACUGGGAUAACUUCGGGAAACCGGAGCUAAUACCGGAUAACAUGUUGAACCGCAUGGUUCAACAGUGAAAGACGGUCUUGCUGUCACUUAUAGAUGGAUCCGCGCCGCAUUAGCUAGUUGGUAAGGUAACGGCUUACCAAGGCAACGAUGCGUAGCCGACCUGAGAGGGUGAUCGGCCACACUGGAACUGAGACACGGUCCAGACUCCUACGGGAGGCAGCAGUAGGGAAUCUUCCGCAAUGGGCGAAAGCAUGACGGAGCAACGCCGCGUGAGUGAAGAAGGUCUUCGGAUCGUAAAACUCUGUUAUUAGGGAAGAACAAAUGUGUAAGUAACUAUGCACGUCUUGACGGUACCUAAUCAGAAAGCCACGGCUAACUACGUG